rnacentral:sRNA from 1 species
ACACAUUUUCUAUCUCUUUACUGGAGACAGGCUCUCAUUAUAGAGUUCAGGCUGGCCUGGAACUUCUGGUAGUCUUACUGCCGUAGUUUUCUGAAUGCUGGGAGUACAGAAAUAUGUUACCACACACUUUACUAUUUAUUUAGUUUGUUUUUGUUUUUGUUUUGUUUGAAAUAGGGCCUGAAAACACGCAGGUGUCAACUGACUGACAUUAAGUACUUUCUCUGCUUUAAAUAAAGUAAGUACACACAUGCAACAUUUAUCCCAAACCUAGAAAUCUCAGUGAUGAGGGCUAAAGUUGGCCAGUUUAAACCACAUCAUGAGACAGAAUCGAACAAAAACUACACACACACACACACACACACACACACACACACACACACACACUCUCUCUCUCUCUCUCUCUCUCUCUCUCUCUCUCUCUCUCAUAUAACAUAUAUGCUCGAGAACAAAUGGAGUUUGGGUUUUUUGUUUUGAGACAGGGUUUCUCACUCUGUAUUGUCUGCCUCUCCCUCCUAAGUGCUGGGAUCAAAGGGAUGAGACACCACCACCUGGCUUACAAACUAAGUUUACUCUAAUUAAAUAAUCACAUGUACCUCUUUUAUAUUAAUAUUUCAACAGCCACUAAUUUUUAUUUUUAUUUUGUUACUGUUUUAAACUAAGAAUAUUUAAUUAUUUCCCUCAACAAACCACACUUAGAUACUGUCGUAUCUUCAUUUUAGGGUCAGAUACAGCUUUUUUUCCCCUUAAAUUAACCUUGAACCUCUGAGGAUGACCUCGAACUUUGGAUUUUCCAGCUCCUACCUUCUUUGUGUUAGGUCACAGCUAUGUGCUGCUGUUCUGUGGUAAUGCAGGUGAAGCCGGGCUUGUGCAUGCUGGACAAGGGCUUUACUAAGCAGAUUAUAGCUGAGCCCAAAGCAUAGCCUUUGGUUGUUGCUUGUUUGGCCGCUGUUUUAUUUAGUAGACCAGGCUGGCCUGGAACUGAGAGAUGCACCUCGUUCUGCUUCCCGGGUGCCGAGAUUAAAGGUGCACAGCGAGUCACAAGAUUUUUUAGACAGGCUGAAAUUGUAAAUGUCAGCCUUAGGCUCCUGAGCCUCCCUCACCCACCUUCUGGACUGCUGGAAUUACAGAAGGAAUGACAAAGGAACUGAAGAGAGCGACUGGUCACGGCACACUGGGGAAACCACUGGGCCACUGGCUAAGCUUACCCAGUCUGUGGUAAACGGAGCCCCAUUUGCCAUCAGUGUCCUCACUUCAUCGUCUUGGCCUUUCCUUGCAGCUUCUAGCAGCCUCUUCCCCAAGUCCACCAGAGACAUCUUUAUGCAUAGAGACAGAAGUUUCCAGAUGCUCAUACCCAGUGAAAUAUGUUUCCAAGAUGCUUUUGGGCUGGAGAGAUGGCUCAGCAGUUAAGAGUACUGACUGGGGGCUGGAGAGAUGGCUCAGUGGUUAAGAGC